rnacentral:rRNA from 1 species
GCCGUGGGCGCUGGAGAAUUGAGGGGGGCUGCUCCUAGUACGAGAGGACCGGAGUGGACGCAUCACUGGUGUUCGGGUUGUCAUGCCAAUGGCACUGCCCGGUAGCUAAAUGCGGAARAGAUAAGUGCUGAAAGCAUCUAAGCACGAAACUUGCCCCGAGAUGAGUUCUCCCUGAGACUUUAAGUCUCCUGAAGGAACGUUGAAGACGACGACGUUGAUAGGUCGGGUGUGUAAGCGCAGCGAUGCGUUGAGCUAACCGAUACUAAUGAACCGUGAGGCUUAACCUU